CCCAUUUUUGUAGUCUUUGUCAUUCACGAUACAAGGAGCAAAACCCCUAAUCCCGCAUUGACAAAAUCCCUUUGCGGUGCCCUCCGUCCGUCUUUAUCUCUAUCCGCCGUUAUUUCUAUCCGUCGUGCCCUCCUCCGUCAUGCUCUCAUUCGUCGUGCCCUCCUCCUUGCGUUAGCCAUCAUCUUUAUCCGUCGUGCCCUCCUUAGUCUAUUCCUUCGUCGGCCGUCUUCUACCAUUUUCGUUCGACGCGGUGCACUUAUGGGAACGAAUUCAUGGUUUCCGUCCGUUCGUCUGGUGCUUCGUCGCGGUGAACGUCCUCGGUCGUCAUUCAACCUAUAGGAAUGAUUAGGUUGGUUCCGAAACACCCCCUCGGUUAACAGAAGAUUUCUUCAAGCCGAUUUCUCUGUUUUUAACUAUGUUGAGGUAAGGCGUUAAAACGCUUACCUUACUACGCCUUACCAAAUGUCCCUUUUCUUCUUCUUCUUCCGAUGUUCAACUUUGUAGCUGCCGCCUUCAAAAGCCUUUAAUACUUAGGCAGAUGUCGCAGUAGAAGAACGAGUUUUACACAGGUCGCUUAACUCCUCAAUGUCACUUAACAAACUCUCGUAGCUUGAAGAAUUUAAGAAGAGGAAGCUUGGUGCUAGAAACACCGAGUGGAAAUGUUUGCGAUGUCGAGGAUUGUUCCGGCAAAUUUGGAGGAAAAAAUUGGUGUGGCUUUUAGUUUUUCGUUGUUUUGGUUCAAUUUUAGUUUGCGAUGCAUAAAAAUGGUUGUGUUAUGGUAUUGUACUUGAUAAAUGUUUAUAUAGUUAAAAAGUAACUGUGUUUAACUAUUGUAUUAGACAACUGAUAAUAUCUAAGAUCUGUUUUCUUUUGCAA